rnacentral:lncRNA from 1 species
UGGUAACGGCGGCCAUUUUAAAAAUUCCAAAGUCAACCUGCUGCUGCAAUUUGUUCUCACCAUAAUUAUAUACCAUCAUUUAACAUAAAAGUCUCUAGAAUAAUUUAACAUUGAUGUUCUGGAAUGUUCUAUGUUAAACAUUUCUCCUGUUUCCAUGGCAAUGGCAGCCAUUUCGGAAUUUCUAAGUAUUGUUGGUACCUCGGGGCCCCACCACAACAUUUGCAAAGUAUGUUCAUAAGGUUGGCUAUUAUAACGAAAGAGUUAGAAUUUUGAUUUUCUUUUACAUUUUUUUAGUUUCCAUGGUAACCGCGGCCAUCUUGCACAUUCCAAAGUCAGGUGCACAACUUCACAUGGUGGACAACAUUAUAGCAUAGUUCCAUCAAGAUUGGUCCAUCCCAUUUCCGAGAACUGUCUUGGACAAAAAGUGUGGAAGAAUAAAAAUAAUAAAAACUAGAUUUGUAAUUGCUAGCAAUAACGGAUGGCACCCUUCCCCUCAUUGCCAGGUGAGCGGCAGCCAUUUUGAAAAUUCCAAAGUCGAAGAAUGCAUUUACAGAUGUCUAGUAACAUUUUUGCAAAGUUUCAUUAAGUUUGAAGCAUUUUGAAAUUUUUGAUAUUUUUGCUAUUUCCAUGGUUACGGCGGCCAUUUUGAAAAUUUCAACUUCAAAAUGCAACUCCGCACAUGUCAGUCACUAUUCCUGUUAAGUUUCAUCCAGUUUGCAGCACUUUAUUUUUUUUGGAAAUUUUGAACAUUUGUGCUGCAACCAUGGUUACAGUAGAUAAUUCCAAAAUUCUAAAAGCGUACAUCUCAUUGCCACAUGUCAUGUUAUAUAUCAAUACAGUUUCAUUUACUUUGGUGCAAUACUCUCUGAGAAAAUGCUGAUUUUAUGCAUUUUUUCAUAGGGUCAAUGCAAAACU